CAAAUUAGGGUUUUCAAUUGGUGUCUUGGAUUCAAAAGAGGCGUUCCUGCAAAACACUUUCUUUGUGCUCAGUAUCGGAUUGGUCCCUUUGAUGUUUGGAUUUGGAACAGUGAAAAUUGAAGCAUUGGUUUCGAUUCUCACGGCCUUGUUGGUGUACUCGGUUUUGGGUUCUUUGUGAUUUCAGUUUGGAUGUGUGAGGAUGGUGUGUCGAUAAGCUAAUCAACAUGAAGUUCUUCAUGACAUUUAACCGGUCAAUUAAGCCAGGUGUGAUUAAACACAAGAUUGCACGCUGCUGCUGUGGAUUAGCAUUCCUCUGCUGUUGGUGUUGUAACCGAGCCAGUUUCAUCUUUGUUAGCAUAUCCGUAUCAGCACGAGGAAAAAGAGGACCACCUGCUUGAAGGGGUGAUCCAACAUUUGAUACUAACCCCCGACAGGAUUUGAAAGGCCGUCCUUACCUACGCCCAUAUUCCUAUUGUUCAGUAGCAUUCUGAGUCUUCUACUUAUUGAUGCAGACAACAGCUAACACAUACUCCAGCCAUCGCCCCAGAAAAAGCAUGUUCUUGCUUGGCAAGGGAAUGGAAAGCCUGCUUAUGAUUCACAGAGAAGAUCUGAUCCUUACGUUCAUUAUCACUUAUAUCUGAUAAACGCCUUCUUUGGAUUUCCAUUAAUUCAUUAUCAUCAAUCUUAUAUUGGCACUGCACAAAACCACUGUCACAGGUAGCUAAAGAGUUGUUAAUAUGAUAAUCUACAUAGGUACUAGAAGAUAAGGUAUGACAGGCACCAAUUCCCUCUGAUUAUCCGGCACAGCUUAAAGAAAAUAGUCCGAACACAGUGGGUUAACUUUGUUUGUGAUUGGAACUGCAUCAUUAGAUAACGAUGAAGCUUCAUGUAUUACUACAUCAGGAUUGGAUACAUCGCUUUCAUUAGCCAAUGAAGUGGUACUCGUGUCUAUUGAAAUGCAGUCCCUAGCAACCGAAGAAUUACUUUCCAGAUUCUCCAGCUCAGUAUCUUUACUCCCAAGUUCCUUUUCAUUAAUAUUCAUUUGAAUUUUUAUCAUGCGCCUGCAAAACUCUCUCGAAUAAAGAAUGAAUAUAAUCUUGGUUUCCAUAAGCAGAUUUAAGAAUCAACAUCUUCUGUGUUACCGUAGGGAAAUCCAAUUUUUCCUGCAAAACUUGUGAACUGAAGCAAGUAGCGCUCGGAUUAACAGAAUAAUACUUAGUUUUAUUUGAAGUAACCACACCAUUUUUUCUGAGGAACACAACUGAUAAUUUUAUCUUUUGUGAAUCCUUUUCCAUCAUCUCGGUUCACAUUUUCCUUCUGGUGUAAAAAAGAAAGUGGCCGACUAGCGGAAUCCCAUAACUGGCAAAUUGCGGAAAUGAGCUGAGGUGUUGUCCUGGUGUUAUUUUGUACCGUGGUAAAUUGUUGGACUUACCGGUUUUGUUGUUGCAUUUGCAGGGAAACGGAACCUUAAUGACUUGGUGAGCGUUCUUCUCAGACUUGUUUGACUUGGACGGUAAUGCGGGCGGUUGAUGCUUCAGUGAUGAGUAUUGGUGGCUACGGUUUGGAUUCGUGCUCCUGAGGCCAAGUCACCAGCCAACCACUUCCAGUAACCAUCUUUGUCCUUAUUGAAAUUGAAAAGCCUCUUGAAGUAAUCCUCGAAUGCAAAAUUCCCGCGAAAGUGGGAUGAGAAAGCGGCUUAUUUGCUGCAGCGGUUUUUUGGGCUUGGUUUGAGCGACGGUGGGUAGACAAUGCUUGAAGAUUGUUUGGAUAGGCAAAUGGAACUUGAACCUUUAUCUGCAGAGACUAGUGUAAAAUUUCCCAAAUAAUGAUUGCCGUAAUAUGAAAGCCGGUUACGUUCUUUGCUCAUGUUGUUCACACAAGGAAAGGGAAUGUUCCCAACUGCACCGUUUCUAAUAUCCUCGGAAGUAGAGGCUUUCUUGAACUUGCUGUCAUGUUUAAAAAAUGGUCAAUGGUUGUUCACUGAUAAAGUCAGAUUGUAGUUUCUCCACGUAAUGAUCUCUGAAUUUGUUUUUUGUCUACAAAAGCUGCAUGAUCUUCAUGUCUAUGACCAUUGCUACCUUGCAAUGCUUUUAAGCUAUCUACUGAAAUACUUUUAAUUUCUUCUUUCAUUGAUUUAGAAUUUGUAUAUUUAGCAGAUGAGUUUGACGAUUCAUUUGGUAUGCCAUCAAAACCAUUUAAUGAAUGAGGAAAUUUUUCCUUUGCCUUUUGAUCAA